rnacentral:rRNA from 1 species
AGAGUUUGAUCAUGGCUCNNAAUCAACGCUGGCGGCGCGCUUAACACAUGCAAGUUGAACGAGAAAGGGUAGCAAUACCUGAGUACAGUAGCGUACGGGUGAGUAACACGUGGAUCAUCUACCUUCUAGUGGGGAAUACCUCUGGGAAACCGGAGACAAUACCGCAUAAGCCCGCAAGGGGAAAGCAGCAAUGCGCUGGAAGAGGAGUCCGCGGCUGAUUAGCUAGUUGGUGAGGUAACGGCCCACCAAGGCGAAGAUCGGUAGCCGGCCUGAGAGGGCACACGGCCACACUGGCACUGAAAUACGGGCCAGACUCCUACGGGAGGCAGCAGUGGGGAAUCUUGCACAAUGGGGGAAACCCUGAUGCAGCGACGCCGCGUGAGCGAUGAAGCCCUUCGGGGUGUAAAGCUCUUUCGACGGGAACGAUAAUGACGGUACCCGGAGAAGAAGCUGCGGCUAACUACGUGCCAGCAGCCGCGGUAAUACGUAGGCAGCAAGCGUUGUUCGGAAUUACUGGGCGUAAAGAGUGCGUAGGUGGUGCUCUAAGUUUGGUGUGAGAUCUCCCGGCUUAACCGGGAGGGUGCGCCGAAAACUGGAGUGCUUGAGGGUGGGAGAGGUAAGCGGAAUUCCUGGUGUAGCGGUGAAAUGCGUAGAUAUCAGGAGGAACACCUGUGGUGUAGACAGCUUACUGGACCACUUCUGACACUGAGGCACGAAAGCGUGGGUAGCNNNCAGGAUUAGAUACCCUGGUAGUCCACGCCCUNNNCGAUGCAUACUUGGUGUGAGCCAUUCAUUUGGU